UACGUAGGGGGCGAGCGUUGUCCGGAGUUACUGGGCGUAAAGCGCACGCAGGCGGUCUGCUAAGUUUGGAGUGACAGUUGGUGGCUUAACUGCCAAAGUGCUUCGAAAACUGACAGACUUGAGGGCUUACAGAGGGACACGGAAUUCCGGGGUGGAGUGGUGAAAUGACCGUAGAGAUCCGGAGGAACACCAAAGGCGAAGGCAGUGUCCUGGG
rnacentral:rRNA from 1 species